GACACUGCAAUCGGCUUCGACGACAUUCCGCAAGGUUGUCUAGGAGUGUUGUUGUUGUGCUCGUUGGAUGCAUUUGCGUGCGGAGUGCGCCGAGUGGGUCGAUGUCGCUGCCGGAAGGGCGUAUAGAGGACUCGGGUUUUCGGACUCGAGAAUCCUGUGCGUUCGGAUAGCAGGUGAUGUUGGCUCGCUGUUGUGGAGUGCGGGUGAAUUCGCGAUGGGCGUCGGUUGUGAGUUGUGGUUGCGGAU
rnacentral:rRNA from 1 species